rnacentral:rRNA from 1 species
AAAGAAACCAACCGGGAUUGCCUCAGUAACGGCGAGUGAAGCGGCAAGAGCUCAAAUUUGAAAUCUGGCCCCCUCGGGGUCCGAGUUGUAAUUUGCAGAGGAUGCUUCGGGUGCGGCCCCCGUCUAAGUGCCCUGGAACGGGCCGUCAUAGAGGGUGAGAAUCCCAUCUGGGACGGGGUGUCCGCGUCCGUGUGAAGCUCCUUCGACGAGUCGAGUUGUUUGGGAAUGCAGCUCUAAAUGGGUGGUAAAUUUCAUCUAAAGCUAAAUACUGGCCGGAGACCGAUAGCGCACAAGUAGAGUGAUCGAAAGAUGAAAAGCACUUUGAAAAGAGAGUUAAAAAGCACGUGAAAUUGUUGAAAGGGAAGCGCUUGCGACCAGACUCGCCCGCGGGGUUCAGCCGGCAUUCGUGCCGGUGUACUUCCCCGCGGGCGGGCCAGCGUCGGUUUGGGCGGCCGGUCAAAGGCCCCCGGAAUGUAGUGCCCCUACGGGGGCACCUUAUAGCCGGGGGUGCAAUGCGGCCAGCCUGGACCGAGGAACGCGCUUCGGCACGGACGCUGGCAUAAUGGUUGCAAACGAC